UACGUAGGGUGCAAGCGUUAAUCGGAAUUACUGGGCGUAAAGCGUGCGCAGGCGGUAUGUAAGACAGAUGUGAAAUGCCCCGGGCUUAACCUGGGAACUGCAUUUGUGACUGCAUGGCUAGAGUUUGGCAGAGGGGGGUAGAAUUCCACGUGUAGCAGUGAAAUGCGUAGAUAUGUGGAGGAACACCGAUGGCGAAGGCAGCCCCCUGGGUCAAGACUGACGCUGCAUGCAC
rnacentral:rRNA from 1 species